rnacentral:sRNA from 2 species
GCAUAGUCAGUUGAAGCUUUUUCAAGCUGGCAUCAAUGGCAAGGGGGAUGUCGCUAAUGUUCGUGAUAACUUUGGUCAUGACGAACAGUUUUCCUCGCGCAACCCCACUUUCUUUGUUAGCGGGUCCAAUUUCUCUUUCGCUUCCGUAUACCUCUACGCCGUCGAUGUAGAAAUACCCUAAACUAAUUACCUCCUUUAUUGAGUCAACCAGUUCCCUGUUUAUAUAAUUUCGCCUGAUUCUUUGAGCCACGCAGUUCCGGUUCCACAGCCGAGCUGUCAAAGGCAAUUGAGCCAGUUCCAUACCUCAAUUGCCAUAUUUGAGGCCAAAGGUCUAGGCUCAGAAGGUUUAGAGGGCUACAAACCGCUGGGAUGGAAUUGCCAUCAUUGAGUUUGAUCUCUGGUAAGACAACCAUUUCAGAGAAGUAAUGUUGGUUGGUCAGAUUAGAAGAUCGCGGA